rnacentral:rRNA from 1 species
AACGAACGCUGGCGGCAUGCCUAACACAUGCAAGUCGAACGAGACCUUCGGGUCUAGUGGCGCACGGGUGCGUAACGCGUGGGAACCUGCCCUUAGGUUCGGAAUAACUCCCCGAAAGGGGUGCUAAUACCGGAUAAUGUCUUCGGACCAAAGAUUUAUCGCCUUUGGAUGGGCCCGCGUUGGAUUAGCUAGUUGGUAGGGUAAAAGCCUACCAAGGCGACGAUCCAUAGCUGGUCUGAGAGGAUGAUCAGCCACACUGGGACUGCGACACGGCCCAGACUCCUACGGGAGGCAGCAGUGGGGAAUAUUGGACAAUGGGCGAAAGACUGAUCCAGCAAUGCCGCGUGAGUGAUGAAGGCCUUAGGGUUGUAAAGCUCUUUUACCCGGGAUGAUAAUGACAGUACCGGGAGAAUAAGCUCCGGCUAACUCCGU